rnacentral:lncRNA from 1 species
UUUCCAAUAAUAUUAGUGCCUUCUUGCAACUCCUAAGUGCUAAUUUAAUUAAAGCUGAUAACACAAGAAUUUUUUUGUUAUAUAUAAAGGGAUUAAACAUUUGUACAAACAAAUAUAAUAAAAUAUUUAAAAAUUAAAAAAUUGUAAUCAAAAUUAUACAAACAAACAUAAUAAAAUAUACACACACGUUACCACGGUAAAUAGUGUAAUAUACCACUCGUCAAUUAUUGGAAUAUUACCGAUCGAUGUAUCAGAGGGAGAGUGUCCAGGAAGGUUAUGGCAAGACGGAAGAUACUAUGAUGCAGUGUCAGUUAAGCACGGGUUAAUCAUUAGUGUUAGUGUAACCACGAUUAAGAUGAAGGGCAUUUUAGUAUUUGCACCAAGAAGGGUGUUUGGUCCCAAAAUCUUCAUUGUUCCAUGUUGUUUCUCUCUCUAAGAUUACAAGACUAGAAUUCUCUCUCCCUUCUCUCUAAGAAUGUCGCCCCAAUCUCCCUCUAUUGUCCAUUAAUCAUUCCAAGAAUAUAUAAUUGACAAUCAAGCAUGGAUUAAGGUAACUUUAUAAGCAAGGAACAACUAGAAGAUUGGAUGUAAGCUUUGGGGUUAUUCUUGAGGCCACGGUCAAGAGCUAGGGUUUGAGGUUAAGAAGUUUGGAGCAUGAAGAAUUGCAAGAACUUGUUAGAUCAGCAGGUUGAUUUAGCAUGAUUUGGCAAGCUUGUAGCCGAAGGGAUACUCCAUAAGGAGUCGUUCGUACCCGCUGCAGGAUGUUCUUAUGGAUUCAAUAGUGUUUUACUAUACUUUGGAUAGAUAGUGUUGUAUUACUGAUUGUACGAACGCGUAAUUGUUGUAUAUGAUACUCAUUCAAAGUAUUCAUGUUGUAAAGUUUAAUGUAUCCAGUACUAAAGAUAAUGCACAUGCUAAAUUUUCUAGAUACGAUUAUUGUGGGCGUUACAAAUAAAGCGGAUAGACGAGCACUUUCCGGCCGCUAGUAUGGUAUAAU